ACCAGGGAGUCUAACAUAUGUGCAAGUUAUUGGGAUAUAAACCUAAUAGCGUAAUUAACUUGACUAUUAAUGGGAUUAGUUUUUUAACUAUUUAUAGUUAAUUAACGCAAUCCCGGGGCGCUCUAUAUAGUUAUGUAUAAUAAUAUUUAUAUUAUUUAUGCCUCUAACUGGAACGUACCUUGAGCAUAUAUGCUGUGACCCGAAAGAUGGUGAACUAUACUUGAUCAGGUUGAAGUCAGGGGAAACCCUGAUGGAAGACCGAAACAGUUCUGACGUGCAAAUCGAUUGUCAGAAUUGAGUAUAGGGGCGAAAGACCAAUCGAACCAUCUAGUAGCUGGUUCCUUCCGAAGUUUCCCUCAUGAUAGCUGGUGCAUUUAACUGUUGUAUAAAAUAAUCUUAUCUGGUAAAGCGAAUGAUUAGAGGCGUUAGGGUCGAAACGAUCUUAACGUAUUCUCAAACUUUAAAUGGGUAAGAACCUUAACUUUCUUGAUAUGAAGUUUAAGGUUAUGAUAUAAUGUGCCCAGUGGGCCACUUUUGGUAAGCAGAACUGGCGCUGUGGGGAGAACCAACCGAAUGUUACCGUUGCCCCAAUUAACCCCCCUAAA
rnacentral:ncRNA from 1 species